rnacentral:rRNA from 1 species
GUGGAGCUUGCUCUGGGGGAUUAGUGGCGAACGGGUGAGUAACACGUGAGUAACCUGCCCUGGACUCUGGGAUAAGCGUUGGAAACGACGUCUAAUACCGGAUAGGACCUCGGAUCGCAUGAUCUGGGGUGGAAAGUUUUUUCGGUCUGGGAUGGACUCGCGGCCUAUCAGCUUGUUGGUGAGGUAACGGCUCACCAAGGCGUCGACGGGUAGCCGGCCUGAGAGGGUGACCGGCCACACUGGGACUGAGACACGGCCCAGACUCCUACGGGAGGCAGCAGUGGGGAAUAUUGCACAAUGGGCGAAAGCCUGAUGCAGCAACGCCGCGUGCGGGAUGACGGCCUUCGGGUUGUAAACCGCUUUUAGUAGGGAAGAAGGGCUUCGGCUUGACGGUACCUGCAGAAAAAGGACCGGCUAACUACGUGCCAGCAGCCGCGGUAAUACGUAGGGUCCGAGCGUUGUCCGGAAUUAUUGGGCGUAAAGAGCUCGUAGGCGGUUUGUCGCGUCUGCUGUGAAAUCUGGAGGCUCAACCUCCAGCCUGCAGUGGGUACGGGCAGACUAGAGUGCGGUAGGGGAGAAUGGAAUUCCUGGUGUAGCGGUGGAAUGCGCAGAUAUCAGGAGGAACACCGAUGGCGAAGGCAGUUCUCUGGGCCGUAACUGACGCUGAGGAGCGAAAGCGUGGGGAGCGUACAGGAUUAGAUACCCUGGUAGUCCACGCCGUAAACGUGGGCCUAGAUGUGGGGACCUUUCCACGG